rnacentral:rRNA from 1 species
AAGAACGCUGGCGUCCGGCUUAACACAUGCAAGUCGAGGGGAAACGGCAUAUCAGCUUGCUGAUAUGGCUGUCGACCGGCGAAUGGGUGAGUAACGCGUAUCCAACCUGCCCCUAACUAGGGAAUAACCCGUUGAAAAGCGGCCUAAGUCCCUAUGACCUCAUCAGACGACAUCAGAUGAUGAGCAAAGGUUUACCGGUUAGGGAUGGGGAUGCGUCUGAUUAGGCAGUCGGCGGGGUAACGGCCCACCGAGCCGACGAUCAGUAGGGGUUCUGAGAGGAAGGUCCCCCACAUUGGAACUGAGACACGGUCCAAACUCCUACGGGAGGCAGCAGUGAGGAAUAUUGGUCAAUGGGCGUAAGCCUGAACCAGCCAAGUAGCGUGAGGGAUGACGGCCCUAUGGGUUGUAAACCUCUUUUAUAUGGGGAUAAAGUGCGUGACGUGUCAUGCAUUGCAGGUACCAUAGGAAUAAGGACCGGCUAAUUCCGUGCCAGCAGCCGCGGUAAUACGGAAGGUCCAGGCGUUAUCCGGAUUUAUUGGGUUUAAAGGGAGCGUAGGCCGCUUUUUAAGCGUGUUGUGAAAUGUUGGGGCUCAACCCCAUCACUGCAGCGCGAACUGGAAGGCUUGAGAGUGCGCAACGCAGGUGGAAUUUGUGGUGUAGCGGUGAAAUGCUUAGAUAUCACGAAGAACUCCGAUUGCGAAGGCAACUUGCGGGAGCACGACUGACGCUGAAGCUCGAAAGUGCGGGUAUCGAACAGGAUUAGAUACCCUGGUAGUCCGCACGGUAAACGAUGGAUGCCCGCUGUGUGCGUAUGACGUACGCGGCCAAGCGAAAGCAUUAAGCAUCCCACCUGGGGAGUACGCCGGCAACGC